GUCAGGCAGAGUGGUGUGUCCCUAUAGUCCCAGCUAGGUGAGAGGCUGAGGCAGGAGGAUGACUUGAGCCUAGGAGUUCAAGGCCAUCCUAGGCAACACAGUGAGACCCUCUCUCCU
rnacentral:sRNA from 1 species